CCCAUAGGCUGAGGAGAAAAAGGAGGAAUCCGCCCAAGGAGGGGCUCGCAUCUGAUUAGUUGGUUGGUGAGGCAAUGGCUUACCAAGACGACGAUCAGUAGUUGGUCCAAGAGGAUGAUCAGCCACACUGGGACUGAGACAUAGCCCAGACUCCUAUGGGAGGCAGUAGUGGGGAAUUUUCCGCAAUGGGCGAAAUCCUGACGGAGCAAUGUCACGUGAAGGCAGAAGGCCCACGGGUCAUGAACUUCUUUUCUCAGAGAAGAAACAAUGACGGUAUCUGAGGAAUAAGCAUCAGCUAACUCUGUGCCAGUAGCUGUAGUAAGACAGAGGAUGCAAGCGUUAUCCGAAAUGAUUGGGCAUAAAGCAUCUGUAGGUGGCUUUUCAAGUCCGCCAUCAAAUCCCAGGGAUCAACCCUGGACAGGCGGUGGAAACUACCAAGAUGGAGUAUGGUAGGGGCAGAGGGAAUUUCCGGUGGAGCGGUGAAAUGCGUUGAGAUCGGAAAGAACACCAAUGGUGAAAGAACUCUGUUGGGCUGACACUGACACUAAGAGAUGAACGCUAGGGGAGAAAAUGGGAUUAGAUACCCCAGUAGUCCUAGCUAUAAACGAUGGAUACUAAGUGUUGUGCGUAUCGACCCACGCAGUGAUGUAGCUAACGCGUUAAGUAUCCUGCCUGGGGAGUACAUUCGCAAGAAUGAAACUCAAAGGAAUUGACGGGGGCCCGCACAAACGGUGGAGCAUGUGGUUCAAUUCGAUGCAAAGCGAAGAACCUUACCAGGGCUUGACAUGCCGUGAAUCCUCCUGAAAGAGAGGAGUGCCUUCGGGAACGCGGACACAG
rnacentral:ncRNA from 1 species